GCAGACGCACUGCCCCCGGCCGCAGUCCCGGGCGGGGCUUUCUCCGUCCGCCACAGACACAUUCCAGGGCGCUGUGACCGCCUGGACCGGUCAGGGCGCUGCCGCUGCCGGGGGACACGGUU